rnacentral:rRNA from 1 species
UACGGAGGGGGCGAGCGUUAUUCGGAAUUAUUGGGCGUAAAGGGCGCGUAGGCGGCUGGUUAAGUCAAAGGUGAAAUCCCUCGGCUCAACUGAGGAACUGCCUUUGAAACUAGCGAGCUUGAGGCCGGGAGGGGGUAGCGGAAUUCCCAGUGUAGCGGUGAAAUGCGUAGAUAUCUGGAGGAACACCGGUGGCGAAGGCGGCAUCCUGGACCGGCAUUGACGCUGAGGCGCGAAAGCCAGGGGAGCAAACGGG